UUGUGAUUACGGAUGGUUGCCGCUUUGGCGGAGGAAAGUCCGGACUCCUCGGAGGAGGGUGCCAGAUAACGUCUGGCGGCGCUGCGAGGCGCUAGGGAAAGUGCCACAGAAAAUAUACCACCUUCGGGCAAGGGUGAAAUGGCGAGGUAAGAGCUCACCGCGCGACUGGCAACGGAAGCGGCAUGGUAAACCCCACUUGGAGCAAGAUCAAAUAGGGACAACGCAUAUGACCUCCGCAUUUAGGUUUAGUAGCCUUGGCUGCGUAACCGUAGGGUUGUCCGGGUAGAUCGCUAGAUGUUUACGGCGACGUAAAUACCAGACGAAUAACCAUCGGAAUGCAAUUGCAAUUGCAUUUUACAGAAUCCGGCUUAUAGUUUUCACAAAAAC
rnacentral:RNase_P_RNA from 1 species